rnacentral:rRNA from 1 species
UACGUAGGUGGCAAGCGUUGUCCGGAAUUAUUGGGCGUAAAGCGCGCGCAGGUGGUUCUUUAAGUCUGAUGUGAAAGCCCACGGCUCAACCGUGGAGGGUCAUUGGAAACUGGGGAACUUGAGUGCAGAAGAGGAGAGUGGAAUUCCAAGUGUAGCGGUGAAAUGCGUAGAGAUUUGGAGGAACACCAGUGGCGAAGGCGACUUUCUGGUCUGUAACUGACACUGAGGCGCGAAAGCGUGGGGAGCAAACAGG